GACGAACGCUGGCGGCGUGCUUAACACAUGCAAGUCGAACGGAAAGGCCCUGCUUUUGUGGGGUGCUCGAGUGGCGAACGGGUGAGUAACACGUGAGUAACCUGCCCUUGACUUUGGGAUAACUUCAGGAAACUGGGGCUAAUCCCGGAUAGGAGCUCCUGCUGCAUGGUGGGGGUUGGAAAGUUUCGGCGGUUGGGGAUGGACUCGCGGCUUAUCAGCUUGUUGGUGGGGUAGUGGCUUACCAAGGCUUUGACGGGUAGCCGGCCUGAGAGGGUGACCGGCCACAUUGGGACUGAGAUACGGCCCAGACUCCUACGGGAGGCAGCAGUGGGGAUAUUGCACAAUGGGCGGAAGCCUGAUGCAGCAACGCCGCGUGCGGGAUGACGGCCUUCGGGUUGUAAACCGCUUUCGCCUGUGACGAAGCGUGAGUGACGGUAAUGGGUAAAGAAGCACCGGCUAACUACGUG
rnacentral:rRNA from 1 species